ensembl:lncRNA
CGGAAGUGGGCCUGGGAGGCUAGAUGGGCCCAUGGGGCACUGGAUGAGGGGCAGACGGGCCAGCUGAGAAUGGGCCGCCCGAGGCUUUGCUGAUCCCUGGAUUAGCGACUUCUGUGUGAGGCCCAGCCCAACUCUGCCGGACUCGGGCUCCUUGUUCGUCUUGCAGCCUGGAAGCCAGCGACUCCAUGGGACCCUGGGCAGGGCAGGCCCGCAGGCAGGGAGAAGGGCAAAGAUGAAGAGUGGCAGGGCUCAGGCUACCUGCCUGGGACCCGAGCAGGGAUCGCUGGAGUCCCCCACGCCUGGAGUCCAAAGACUGUUCCCAAUUAGCCUAGGGAGUUUGCAGUCUCUCUCCUUGCAUGGGGCAGGAAGGAAGGGAGCCAGCCAUGGUUCUGCUGCUUGGGAGCGUGGUGCAGAGCUCACAAUGAGACAUUGCAGUGCUCCUGGAAAGGCCUCCACGCCCUCCACCACCCUCAGCCUUCCCCCUUCUCUGGCACGUCCCAUCUGGCUCCCAAGGAGCUUCCCAGGCAGGAGUGAAUCAGUCUUCACUGCUUCCCAGAGAAGCUGGCUGUAAGCGGCUGCAGAUGGUGGCUGCAGAUGGGAACUGCUCCCCAGCUCAGGAGCUCAGACUGGAAACAGCCCUGCUCAAAGCCAGGUAAAAGCAAAUCCAAGAACCUUUAAACAACCACAACCUCCUGCACUAAUCUCCAUCCAAGGGCAUUCUUACUGGGUAUCAGAACUGCUUCCCUCUCAGCGCUGGGCCCCGCUAGUACUUAAACGCUCCCUGCUCCUUUACACAUGAGCAUCACUAAACAGAAGCAAUACUGAGAGAAAUGUGAAUAUGGAUUGAUCUAUAUGCUCACUGCGGGGAGGUCUCGCUGCUCUAUCAAGCUACGGCCUUUCUGAGCUGUCUGCGGAUCUGAGAAAAGAGUCCAACUCCUGCUCUGUCACAGGACUUCCAAGAAGAGCUGUGAUGUCCACAAGAAGUGACUUGAUCCUAUCCACUCCCUUGAGCCUGCCUGCUGUAGCAGCUUGUGAGGGGACCUGGGGACCGCUCGUAACGACAGCAGCUGCCUGGCACUCAGCCAGGCUUUCAGACUGUGGGGAGCUGUGAUGAACACGGGUCAUGUUUUUAUUAGCUAUAUGGGUGUGUCAGUUUAUCUGCUCACACUGUACGGCUCCACGGGGAGUGGGCAAGGAGCGAGGACGGGUGGCCUGUCUGAGCUGGGUGCACAUGCACCCUCAGGAACUGAGUGGAACCAGUGCCUAUGAGUGGAAGGCCCAGAAGAGACACUGGGUGCCCCAAGGACUGAACUUUGGCGUUCCGGACUGUCAAGGUUUUUUUCUCCACUUUGAACUUUAGAGUACAAAUGUGGGGAACCUGCAUGGACCCUUCUAAGCUGAAUUCCUAGCUUAGAUCUGGUAACGCUGCCACCAGCCAAAAAUAUAGUGUUUGGCACACUUCCUGUUCCCUCAAAACCUUCCCUGGGGGAACACAAAUCCAAACCCCUUGGAUCUGAACACAAGGAGAAAUUAACCUUCCCCCCUCCUUUCCCCCCACCAAUCCCUGGUGAGUUCAGACUCAAUCCCUUGGAUUUUUUCCUUGUUUUAAAAUCCAUCAGAUUCUUAAAAAAGAAAGCUUUUAAUUAAAGAAAGAAAAAGUAAAAAUUAUCUCUGUAAAAUCAGGAUGGAAAAUGCUUUACAGGGUAUUCAGAUUCAUAUAGACUAGAGGGACCUCGCCCCCGCCCCCAGCCUUAGAUUCAAAGUUACAGCAAACAAAGGUAAAAAUCCUUCCAGCAAAAGGAAAAGCAUUCACAAGUUGAAAGAAAACAAACAUAAGACUAAUCUGCCUUGCCUGGCUAUACUUACAAUUUUGAAAUAUGAAAGACUGAUUCAGAUAGAUUUGGAGAGUCUGGUUGUACGUCUGGUCCCUUUUUGUCCCAAGAGCAAACAACGAACAAAAUAAACAACACAAACAAAGACUUCCCUCCA